rnacentral:rRNA from 1 species
GGGCGAGCGCGCUAUCUGCAGUCGAGCGCGGGAAGCAACUGAAUCCUUCGGGAGGACGUUUGUGGAACGAGCGGCGGACGGGUGAGUAACACGUGGGCAACCUGCCUGUAAGACUGGGAUAACUCCGGGAAACCGGGGCUAAUACCGGAUAAUACAUUGGACCACAUGGUCCAGUGUUGAAAGAUGGCUUUUAGCUAUCACUUACAGAUGGGCCCGCGGCGCAUUAGCUAGUUGGUGAGGUAACGGCUCACCAAGGCCACGAUGCGUAGCCGACCUGAGAGGGUGAUCGGCCACACUGGGACUGAGACACGGCCCAGACUCCUACGGGAGGCAGCAGUAGGGAAUCUUCCGCAAUGGACGAAAGUCUGACGGAGCAACGCCGCGUGAGUGAGGAAGGCCUUCGGGUCGUAAAACUCUGUUGUUAGGGAAGAACAAGUACUGUUCGAAUAGGUCAGUACCUUGACGGUACCUAACCAGAAAGCCACGGCUAACUACGUGCCAGCAGCCGCGGUAAUACGUAGGUGGCAAGCGUUGUCCGGAAUUAUUGGGCGUAAAGCGCGCGCAGGCGGUUCCUUAAGUCUGAUGUGAAAGCCCACGGCUCAACCGUGGAGGGUCAUUGGAAACUGGGGAACUUGAGUGCAGAAGAGGAGAGCGGAAUUCCACGUGUAGCGGUGAAAUGCGUAGAUAUGUGGAGGAACACCAGUGGCGAAGGCGGCUCUCUGGUCUGUAACUGACGCUGAGGCGCGAAAGCGUGGGUAGCGAACAGGAUUAGAUACCCUGGUAGUCCACGCCGUAAACGAUGAGUGCUAGGUGUUAGGGGUUUCCACCCUUAGUGCUGCAGUUAACGCAAUAAGCACUCCGCCUGGGGAGUACGGCCGCAAGGCUGAAACUCAAAGGAAUUGACGGGGGCCCGCACAAGCGGUGGAGCAUGUGGUUUAAUUCGAAGCAACGCGAAGAACCUUACCAGGUCUUGACAUCUUCGGACCACCCUAGAGAUAGGGUUUUCCCUUCGGGGACCGAAUGACAGGUGGUGCAUGGUUGUCGUCAGCUCGUGUCGUGAGAUGUUGGGUUAAGUCCCGCAACGAGCGCAACCCUUGACCUUAGUUGCCAGCAUUCAGUUGGGCACUCUAAGGUGACUGCCGGUGACAAACCGGAGGAAGGUGGGGAUGACGUCAAAUCAUCAUGCCCCUUAUGACCUGGGCUACACACGUGCUACAAUGGAUGGUACAAAGGGCAGCGAAACCGCGAGGUGGAGCAAAUCCCAUAAAGCCAUUCUCAGUUCGGAUUGUAGGCUGCAACUCGCCUACAUGAAGCCGGAAUCGCUAGUAAUCGCGGAUCAGCAUGCCGCGGUGAAUACGUUCCCGGGCCUUGACACACCGCCCGUCACACCACGAGAGUUGGUAACACCCGAAGUCGGUGAGGUAACCUUGGAGCCGCCCGAGUGUAGGANNGGC